GAUGAAGAACGCAGCGAAAUGCGAUAAGUAGUGUGAAUUGCAGAAUUCAGUGAAUCAUCGAAUCUUUGAACGCACAUUGCGCCCCUUGGUAUCCCGAGGGGCAUGCCUGUUCGAGCGUCAUUUCACCACUCAAGCCUGGCUUGGUGUUGGGUGACGUCCUCUUUGGGGACGCGCCUCGAAACGCUCGGCGGCGUGGCACCGGCUUUAAGCGUAGCAGAAUCUUUCGCUUUGGAAGUCGGGGCCCCGUCUGCCGGAAGACCUGCUCGCAAGGUUGACCUCGGAUCAGGCAGGGAUACCCGCUGAACUUAAGCAUAUCAAUAAGCGGAGGA
rnacentral:misc_RNA from 1 species